ACUGAUGCCAGAGUGGAUGCGGCUGACUGCUGUGUCACAUGUGUGUCAGUAGAUGGUAGAGAGGAGAGAGGCUAUAUCUACACUCAGCAUUCUGACCUCUGAACAUAGAAAUAAAUGGUAGUAGCCUAACUGU